ensembl:misc_RNA Metazoa_SRP Metazoan signal recognition particle RNA
GCUGGGUGUGGUGGCUCACGCCUGUAAUCCCAACACUGGGAGGCUGAGGUGGGUGGAUCACCUGAGGUCAGGAGUUUGUGACUAGCCUGACCAACAUGGUGAAACCCUGUCUCUA